UACAGAGGGGGCAAGCGUUGUUCGGAAUUACUGGGCGUAAAGCGCACGUAGGCGGCUUUGCAAGUCAGAGGUGAAAGCCUGGAGCUCAACUCCAGAAUUGCCUUUGAGACUGCAUCGCUUGAACACGGGAGAGGUGAGUGGAAUUCCGAGUGUAGAGGUGAAAUUCGUAGAUAUUCGGAAGAACACCAGUGGCGAAGGCGGCUCACUGGACCGUUGUUGACGCUGAGGUGCGAAAGCGUGGGGAGCAAACAGG
rnacentral:rRNA from 1 species